GAGAGAGAGGGAAGCUUCUUCAUGCUGCUGCUGCUGUGCUUCUUCUUCCUCUCCUUCUACUUCCCUUAGCAACCUAGAGUGUUGGAGGAGCUCAAGAGAAGCUCGAGCUUCGUCGACGACGCGCCGCGGAGCGGAUCGAGCGAGUUUUCGACGAGGUGCUGCUCGCAGGGAGGGUUUGUCGAGGUGAGUGGCUCCUUGAGAUCGCUUUUAUGGCUUUAAACUUCUACGAUUUUCAAACUGCACUGCUGCUGCUGCUGAUUCCAGCGUCGACCCGCAGAGUUUUGACUCGUAUUCCGCGCAGGAGCAUCGGAACGUGACGCGACUUGAUUCGUUGGAACCGAGACUUCGAGACAAAUCCAUAGGAUCCUUACUUGCCCGAUUUGGAGAAGUUCUCUGUGUAGGAGUGUCGAAACGCGACGAAAUUUGGCGUGCUAGAUUCGCGACUUCGAGACGAAGAUUCUGAGCCCAAGAUUGCAAUUUUUGGAGCAGGUUCCAGCGUCGACGUUUCGUAUUCUGACCCGUUCUCUGCGUAGGAGCGUCGGAAUUCAGCGAAACCAGGGCCAUUGGAUUCGCGACUUCGAGACGAAGCUUCAGAACCCUUGUUUGCUGAAUUUGGAUAAGCAGGAGAACCGGGGACUUCGACGGACCAGCGAGGGAUCAAUUUGGAUCCGGGCCACUUUCUUCGCUGCCAGGAGUUGCUUGAGAGGGCCUUCUGUUUCGGCUGCUGCUCCUUCUGAGGCGGACCGCGGGAAAGGCGUGGCGAGUUAGAGCCUACCCUUCGAGUACAGUGCUAGAGGACUCCCGCUGCAGGUAGUGACAGUUUUUGUUCGGGCGCUUUUGUACAUACAGUUGAACUCGCUGGAGCGAGUAGUGUUCUUUUGUAUCCGUGGCUGAUGUAGGUAUA